GGUUUUUCAAUGUGGAUGUUGCCUGGAUCACAAGAAAAAUAUCAAGGGCUGGUGAGAACAGCCAUGUUCUAAAAGCAUCUCUGCCUGGGUUAGACCACUGCCUACCAAAGAGGGCUUAGGUUGGAAGCGCAGUGUUUGCUUACCACGUUACCCCCGGGUUUGCCUCUGGCUUGUUCUUCCUGGAGGAAAGGCGAUGGGUCUGCUGCUGGUUCCUAAAACAGUGCCAGUCUGUGAUGGCCUUCUGGUAGUGAAACCAUUUUACUAGCAGCAGCAUGAGAGCUCAAGCAGGGUGGCUUCUAACUAAGGAUCAAGGUGGAGACUGCAGAGGAAACUA